rnacentral:rRNA from 1 species
AGCCAGUGAGGAAUAUUGGUCAAUAGCCUAACGGCUGAACCAGCAACUUGGAGGAAUGUAUGGCGAAAGCUGGUUGCAUCUAAAAAGGUGCAAGAUUGAUUCUAUUGAAUAAAGUUCUAGAUAGGUUAUGAUGAUGACAUUUCCUGUCUAUGUGUCUUGACUAAAUUACGUGCCAGCAGUCGCGGUAAUACGUAGAAGACUAGUGUUAUUCAUCUUUAAUAGGUUUAAAGGGUACCUAGACGGUAAAUCAAGUCCAAAAAGGGUACUAAUUUGCUAGAGUUUAAUGUGAGGGGGCACUAAAGUACUGAUAAGUGUAGAGAUGAAAUUCUGUGAUACAAUAUAAGGACAGGUAAAGGCGAAAGCAUCUCAUUAUGUAAUAACUGACGUUGAGGGACGAAGGCUAGGAGAAGCAAAAAGGAUUAGAUACCCAAGUAGUCUUAGCAGAAAAUUAUGAAUGUCAUAGGAUGGAGAUAGUGGAUAACAAUUUUUUUUCUAUAAAUGAAAGUGUAAGCAUUCCACCUCGAGAGUAAUUUGGCAACAUUGGAACUGAAAUCAUUAGACCGUUUCUGAAACAAGUAGUGAAGUAUGUUGUUUAAUUUGAUGGUCCGCAAAAAACCUUACCACAAUUUGAAUAGGAGUUUUUAUUUUAUACAAGCGCUGCACGGUUGUCUCCAGUUAAUGUCGUGAGAUCUUGGUUAGUUCCAUUAAAUUAACGUAAACCCUUACUUUAUUUAUAUAUAGAGUAGUUCACCGCUAGAUUGGAUGUGAUAACAGGGACUAAGACAAGUCAUCAUGGCCUUAAUAUUGUGGGCUAUAGACGUGC